UGAACGCUGGCGGCAUGCCUUACACAUGCAAGUCGAACGGCAGCGCGGACUUCGGUCUGGCGGCGAGUGGCGAACGGGUGAGUAAUACAUCGGAACGUACCCUGUUGUGGGGGAUAACUAGUCGAAAGAUUAGCUAAUACCGCAUACGACCUGAGGGUGAAAGUGGGGGACCGCAAGGCCUCACGCAGCAGGAGCGGCCGAUGUCUGAUUAGCUAGUUGGUGGGGUAAAGGCCCACCAAGGCGACGAUCAGUAGCUGGUCUGAGAGGACGAUCAGCCACACUGGGACUGAGACACGGCCCAGACUCCUACGGGAGGCAGCAGUGGGGAAUUUUGGACAAUGGGGGCAACCCUGAUCCAGCAAUGCCGCGUGUGUGAAGAAGGCCUUCGGGUUGUAAAGCACUUUUGUCCGGAAAGAAAUCGCGCUGGUUAAUACCUGGCGUGGAUGACGGUACCGGAAGAAUAAGCACCGGCUAACUACGUG
rnacentral:rRNA from 1 species